UACGAAGGGUGCAAGCGUUGCUCGGAAUUAUUGGGCGUAAAAGGGUAGGUAGGUGGUUUGGUAAGUCUUAUGUGAAAUCUACAGGCUCAACUUGUAGUCUGCAUGAGAAACUGCCGGGCUUGAGUAUGGGAGAGGUGAGUGGAAUUCCUGGUGUAGCGGUGAAAUGCGUAGAUAUCAGGAGGAACACCUGUGGCGAAAAGCGGCUCACUGGACCAUAACUGACGCUGAUGCACGAAAGCUAGGGGGAGCAAACAGG
rnacentral:rRNA from 1 species